rnacentral:rRNA from 1 species
UACGUAGGGGGCAAGCGUUGUCCGGAUUUAUUGGGCGUAAAGAGCGUGUAGGCGCCAGACAGGUCCGUUGUGAAAACUCGAGGCUCAACCUCGAGAUGUCGAUGGAAACCGUCUGGCUAGAGUCCGGAAGAGGAGUGUGGAAUUCCUGGUGUAGCGGUGAAAUGCGCAGAUAUCAGGAAGAACACCUAUGGCGAAGGCAGCACUCUGGGACGGUACUGACGCUGAGGAGCGAAAGCGUGGGUAGCAAACAGG